AUUGAACGCUGGCGGCAUGCCUUACACAUGCAAGUCGAACGGCAGCACGGGAGCAAUCCUGGUGGCGAGUGGCGAACGGGUGAGUAAUAUAUCGGAACGUGCCCGGUCGUGGGGGAUAACGUAGCGAAAGCUACGCUAAUACCGCAUACGAUCUACGGAUGAAAGCGGGGGGAUCGCAAGACCUCGCGCGAUUGGAGCGGCCGAUAUCAGAUUAGGUAGUUGGUGAGGUAAAGGCUCACCAAGCCGACGAUCUGUAGCUGGUCUGAGAGGACGACCAGCCACACUGGGACUGAGACACGGCCCAGACUCCUACGGGAGGCAGCAGUGGGGAAUUUGGACAAUGGGCGCAAGCCUGAUCCAGCAAUGCCGCGUGCAGGAUGAAGGCCUU
rnacentral:rRNA from 1 species